rnacentral:rRNA from 1 species
UACAGAGGGUGCGAGCGUUGUUCGGAUUUACUGGGCGUAAAGGGCGCGUAGGCGGUCGUGACAAGUCACUUGUGAAAUCUCCGGGCUUAACUCGGAACGGUCAAGUGAUACUGUCGGACUAGAGUACAGAAGGGGCAACUGGAAUUCUCGGUGUAGCGGUGAAAUGCGUAGAUAUCGAGAGGAACACCUGCGGCGAAGGCGGGUUGCUGGGCUGAUACUGACGCUGAUGCGCGAAAGCCAGGGGAGCGAACGGGG